CAGCUGCGUUCAAUCACCUGCCACGGAGAGGAGAAGGAGCAGAAUCUGAAGGAGAACAGAGGAGAACUCAGCACACACACUUAGCAAUUUCAUGAAUGAUGAUGACAAAGCCUACAAGUUUUUUAUUUGAAUCUAACCUAUCAAAUAGCUGAAGUAGCCGAACAGGAUUGCAUCAUCAAAAUAGGUCAGUCUGCAUGUUCUAGUGUCUUCCUUCCACACAGCCCUCUGCAUGCUAAUCAAGGCAGUGACCUGGACACGAUGGUGGAGUGGGUGCAGUUAAAUGGACCGUGGCUGAAGCAGUGGACUCAGUCACUCAGAGCUCUCCUUUAGGUGGCAGCAUGGGAGCCUCAGCCACUUGGACACACUGGGAAAUGACAGAGUCACAGCUCGACUUGCCAAAUCAGCCAGGCUGCAUGAAAAGCUGUGAUGUUAUUUCACAGAGAGCACAGAAUAAUAUCGUUAGCAGUAUGCACCUACGUAGUACUGAUAUAUUUACCGACGGGAAACAACCUUUUCUGUCUGCUCGGAGCAGCGUGCCCCACCCCUACUUGAAACCUUUACAAAUCCACUCAAAACUAAUUUGAGAUGUCAAAGCAAAUUAAUUUUAGCUGUCGGGUAUCGAGAGUUUUGACACAUAGGAAGCAGCAAGUGAUCACUCAAAGCGUAGCUGGACUCACCAGGGAUGGUUGCAACUGCUGAAAAUGUUUGGGCAGCCCAGUCAUCGAUCUGGCUGAAGAGCCCGACUCUGACAAGUGCCCAGGUGGUGGAAACGAUGGAAGGGGCAGCAGAGAUCGAGGAAGUGGCUGAUAGGAUGACGGCCUCAUCUUGUUCUGCGGUGAUGCCUGUCCGCUAGGUUACCAUGACUACCUGACACUGAAGGCACCUCUUCAUCCAUCUGUGCUGCAGCAGUCGCUUCCACCUUGCCCGGCUCUAACCUAUCCACCCACCAUUCCUUCCAUCAGUUCUUCCCCCUGCAAUACAAGCGGCAUUCGCCCAUAGAAAGGAAGAUAAGGUCGAGGCUGCUGGCUUUUUGAAAGCACCGACACCGCAAGAGCUGAACUCAGUCGACAAAAGCGAGGGAGCGACAAGCAACGGGGGCUAUAAAAAAUUCAUGGCCAAUAGAAGAAGGCACUGGGAGUCCUGCAGUAUGUGAACUGCACUCUGGAAACUUUUUCUCUAUUUUGCAAUCUUUUUUUUCUAUUAAUGUUCUCGACUGGAUUCCAGGCUUUCCAAACUUUACUACAUACAUCUUUAUUGUCGAAAUAUACUGAGAGAAAAAAUCAAAUAAGUCAGACAAACUGUGACAGUGAAUUUCAGCUUAAAAUGCUUUUGCAGCCCUGGGCUGCAGGACUCGUUUAGAUACGGUACUGUGCUGUGCAUCGGAAAUUAAACUAUCAGGUUAUUUUCACUCUUCUCUGUAGUGCUUUGUUUUCAAGCAAACACGAGUUUGUGUGUUUAAGCCAACGGAUGUUUUUCCUCAGUAAACAUUCAAACAUGUCAAAACUGGGAAAUCUCAGGUUAAGAAUGACUCCAUUUCACAAAGAGGCAGUGAGCCUCGUCUUGCUCCCA
ensembl:lncRNA